rnacentral:lncRNA from 1 species
GUGGUAAUCAACUUUAUCAGUAUUGUAGCAACUUGUUGGUGAGGAAAAGUAAUUUUGUCGGUGAAGUGGCCUACUGAUGGCUUGUUGGUAAAGUAUCACUUUGGUGAGGUAGCUUGUUGGUGGCUUGGAUAUCUUGCUAGUAGAGAAAUAACUUUUACAAUGAAACAUUUUGAAUUGAGCAUCUGCUAAUUUGCUACUUGUUGAUGAAGGGACAACUUUUGUUGGUAGUAUGACUUAGAUGGGAUAUUUAC